UACAGGCAGCUCUCCUUUGGC
rnacentral:miRNA from 1 species